GGUUGCUUCCUCUAUGGCCCCGAGUUCCCCUGUGCAGACUGCUAAAGUUGAGGAUGUCACCUUAGAAAAUCCAGAAUUACAGGUCCUGUCUUUGUGGAAGAAAAGAGACACAGAGGUUGUGGUUUCUGUGCUUCCCUCAACAAACCAUGGUACGUCCAUAAUUAUACGCCACAGUGAUUUGCGAACCCUUCGACCACACCUGUGGCUAACAGGCGAGGUAAUUGAAAGGCUUUUUCAUUGUCUGGCAAAAAAGGAGCAAAAGGGGAUCUACAUUAUGAACCAUUACACAGCGGGCUUGAUUUUCUUUGGUGAUCGGACACAGCUUUCUCGCCAAAGCUUGCGGAACAUAAGAUGACUGUCCAAUGUCCAUAUAAUUAUGUUCAAAUACAUUUAGAAAGAAUUACUGAUUGAAUGCUAAUAGAAUUCCACAAACUGUAAGAAAUACAUAAAUUUUUUCUGACAGGUAAACUUCGAUCAGUACCAGGCCAUUGUCACGUUUGUUAACAUUAAAAAUGUACACUGGAAGUUUCUGUUCAUCAAUGCAGUGAAUCACACUGUUUAUCUCCUUGAUCCUUCCCCAAGUUCAUCAGAGGAGGAAGACUCUAAACUCGCUGCACGUAAAUUCAGUGAUUACUUAAAAAUGAGGAGAACCCGCCACGCAAAAACAGAAUGGGUCGACAUUAAAUGGAAGGGAGGUGUCUUGACCCAUCCAGUGCUGAAGGAUGGCUUCAGCUGUGGAGUAUUAGUGGUGAUGAUGGCACGGGCAGUGAUGAAAGUAUUUCCAGAUUUGCCCGUCAUGAAAUUUAAAACAUCAAAAGAGAAAAUGGCAGAGGAAAGAAAAUUGAUGGCUGUGGAGAUACUACAAGCAUCAGUUUUUGACACUAACAGCAACUGUGCCAUGUGUUCGCUGACCAAGCCACCUGGAUCAGGACCUUCAAUGAUGAACUGGAUACAAUGUGACGCCUGUCAAAGAUGGUACCAUGAACAGUGCCUUGACAUGACCAACAAUGACUUUCAAAAAGCAAAGGAAGAACCGUGGAAUUGUCUCCUGUGCUGUUAAACCACAGACUUAUUGGAUGCUUGUGUCAAAAUAUUUGAAGACGUACUCUGUUGUCUCCACCAAAGUGAUAAUUUGAGCAACAUAAUACGGUGAAAUGUUUUCAUACAUAUUUCAUUCACAUUUCCCUGAUGUUUUCAUUUACCUUUAAAGCACCUUUAAUGUUAUCAUGACUGCACCUUUUGUAAUUUACAAUUUAUUCUCCUUGUAUCGAGCUGUUCCCUUUUUCUGGGUUUUGUUUUCCAAGAUAAACAGAUUUACCUAUGUUACUUUUAUGAAAAUAGUUAUAUUUCAUAACAUUACAAAUACAAAGAAAAGAUUGUGUCAUUAAUAUGUAAUGACAAGAAAUCCACUUCAGUAAAUUUUAAUAAAUAAAAUCAGAAUGACUUGAUA
ensembl:lncRNA